rnacentral:rRNA from 1 species
UACGGAGGGUGCAAGCGUUAUCCGGAUUCACUGGGUUUAAAGGGUGUGUAGGCGGGUAUUUAAGUCAGUGGUGAAAUCUCUGAGCUCAACUCAGAAACUGCCAUUGAUACUAUUUAUCUUGAAUAUCGUUGAGGUUGGCGGAAUAUAUCAUGUAGCGGUGAAAUGCAUAGAUAUGAUAUAGAACACCGAUUGCGAAGGCAGCUAACUAAGCGAUGAUUGACGCUGAGGCACGAAAGCGUGGGGAUCAAACAGG